ACGCACGCGGGCGGGCAUGUCGGGCGCUGACGCCGCGGGAACUCCGUCAGUGUGGGAAGUGGUGCGCGUGCUGGGCAGGGCGGUGUGCGCAGGCGCGGCUCUCACUGCCGCUCUCUACCUGAUCCGCAGAGUGUGUUUAAUAAUGGCCUGGAAAUCAGGAGGAGCCAGCCAAGCGGAGCUCGUCAACAACCUCCGCAAAAAUGGCAUCAUUAAGUCGGACCGUGUGUAUGAAGUCAUGCUCACCACAGACCGAGCCCAUUUCUCUAGAUGUAACCCUUAUAUGGAUUCCCCACAGUCUAUAGGAUACCAGGCAACCAUCAGUGCGCCACAUAUGCAUGCAUAUGCACUGGAGCUGUUACAUGAUCAGCUGUAUGAAGGUGCCAAAGCUUUGGAUGUGGGAUCAGGCAGCGGCAUCCUGUCAGUCUGUUUUGCCAGAAUGGUGGGGCCAAAGGGCAAAGUCGUCGGGAUCGAUCACAUAAAGGAACUGGUGGACGACUCGAUCAACAAUGUUAAGAAAGACGACCCGACGCUCAUCUCAUCAGGACGCAUCAACCUUCUCGUGGGAGAUGGCAGGAUGGGCUAUCCGGAGGAGGCUCCCUAUGACGCCAUACAUGUAGGAGCCGCAGCCCCUACUGUCCCGCAAGCUCUCCUGGACCAGCUGAAGCCCGGCGGGCGUCUCAUCCUGCCAGUCGGACCAGCUGGAGGGAACCAGAUGCUGGAGCAGCACGACAAGCUGGAGGACGGCAGCAUCAAAAUGAAGCCCCUCAUGGGGGUGAUUUACGUGCCUUUAACAGACAAAGACAAGCAGUGGUCCAGGUGGAAGUGACUUCCUGUCCCUCUCUUCCCCCUCCCUCCUUUCCCCAGGGAACAGGUGAAAUGGUGUGGGCUGGAGCAAGACAAGGCUGCGUUUGCUGGAUGAACUCUAAAACAACAGUCUGGCAAUAUUCACUGUCAUACAUAUACACACAUUUCUCACACACACGCACACACACAACCACAACCUCACAGCAUCCAUCAGGACUUAACAACUAACGAGGAGACGGUAAAAGGACAAUGAAGAAGAAAAGCCACGCUCUCUGCACUCUCGCUCUCGGGACAGUCUGACCGCCGUGUGGCCAAAGAGCCCUCAGGAUGGAAAGAGGGGAAAAAAGGAUUGAAAAAAAAAAACUAAGAGGGUCUUUGUCUUGACAUUUUCAUGCCUGCAGUUUGCUUGGAUUUGUGAAUUGCUUUUUUUUUUUUCCCUCUCUCUUUUGUUGGUUUGCAGGUACACUUUUGUUUUUGUGGGAUCUACAGUAUUGCAGCUGAUUAUUAUUAUUAUUAUCAAUAAUAAUUCUUUUCAUUUUGUGUGUUUACAUGCGUUUCGGCUUGUUCGGAGCUGGUGCUGUUCUCAUAUGAACUAUAGGAACGGGAGGGAUUAAAGGAUAACUCUGUUUCCGUGCUCAUGGUAAAUGGGCGGUUGUGAAAAUGUGCUGAAUUUAUGUGCAUUUUUAUUUAAUUUCUUUCUUUUUUUUUUCCAAAGUUCAAAUUGUAAAAUGCUGCUUUUUGGCUGGGUUUUUUUUUUUUUUUCUUUCUUUGUUUUUUGGAGAGUACAUUCGAAUGCUAGCUAGGGCUGCGCCUGAGAUCAGACUGAUAAAGCGUUCUUCAUCGGGGCAUUUCAGUCUUUUCAUUAGAGAUCAGUUCUUAAUUGAAAACUUCCUUUUUUUCAAACCUAUUAAAUGCUUAUAUAUUAAGCGCUAAGCAGCCACAAUCAUCCUAAAGAUCACACAAUAGCAGCAGAAAGUAUUUCUUUCAGUUUUUCUUUGCGCAUCUCCUUCAAGCUACGUGUGUACAUUUUCCCGUGCCUCUUCUCUAAAGUCUCCCACAGCUGCAGUUUAGCGUAGAUUUUGCUCAGGCUGUCAUGACACUAUUUUAACCCUAGCUGAUUAACAAACACACUGUCGCUAACAAUACCACCCUGGGCCGAUCGCUUAAAUCUGCGCCGAGCGACAGGCUCCAGAGGUUCACGCAAGCGUGCAACAAGCACACACUCUCUCUCACAUACACGCAGGGCUGAGCUUGUGUCCUUUUUCACUGUGGACAUGCUGGCUGUCACCAUGCUGAUUGUGACGCACAACGUGGCUUUCUACCAAUAAAACCCAACACAGAGCAAACCA